AUGUUUCGCAACGUCAACCGCUUCACCAACCGAUGCUCUACAUGUCGCAAAGCUAAGUCUAAAGCUCAAUCUCAUGGCCUUUACAUGCCACUUCCAAUUCCAUAUCAACCAUGGGAAGAUAUUAGCAUGGAUUUUGUACUUGGUUUGCCUAGAACUAGAAAUGGAAAGGAUUUCGUCUUUGUUGUUGUGGACCAAUUCUCCAAAAUGGCUCAUUUCAUUCCUUGCAACAAGAUAGACGAUGCUUCACAUGUUGCAAAUUUGUUUUGUGGGGAAAUCUUGCGCCUUCAUGGAGUGCCAAAGACGAUUGUCUCGGACCGCGACGUCAAGUUCUUGAGUUACUUUUGGAAGACCUUGUGCGCCAAGCUCGGAAUCAAGCUUUUGUUCUCUUCGGCAUACCAUCCACAAACCGACGGCCAAACAGAGGAUAAGGGUGGUUCAGAUAUUGUUAAAGACUUUCUAAGGUUAGGAGGCAGAUAG
rnacentral:rRNA from 1 species